GGAGUUAGCUCAGUGGUAGAGCGCUUGCCUAGGAAGCGCAAGGCCCUGGGUUCAGUCCCCAGCUCCG
rnacentral:tRNA from 1 species